rnacentral:rRNA from 1 species
AGAGUUUGAUCCUGGCUCAGAAUGAACGCUGGCGGCGUGCUUAACACAUGCAAGUCGAACGAGAACGGGAUUGCUUGCAAUCCUUAGUAGAGUGGCGCACGGGUGAGUAACACGUAGAUAAUCUACCUCUGAAUUUGGGACAACACACCGAAAGGUGUGCUAAUACCGGACAAUAUCUUUUGCCCUUCGGUGUAGAAGAUCAAAGGCGGCCUCUUCUUGAAAGCCGUUGUUUGGAGAUGAGUUUACGCACCAUUAGCUAGUUGGUGAGGUAAAGGCCUACCAAGGCGACGAUGGUUAGCUGGUCUGAGAGGAUGACCAGUCACACUGGAACUGAGACACGGUCCAGACUCCUACGGGAGGCAGCAGUGAGGAAUCUUGCGCAAUGGGGGAAACCCUGACGCAGCAACGCCGCGUGAGUGAUGAAGGCUCUUGGGUCGUAAAGCUCUGUCAAUAGGGAAGAAAUCAUCUAUGGUUAAUAUCCAUAGUUGUUGACGGUACCUAUGAAGGAAGCACCGGCUAACUCCGUGCCAGCAGCCGCGGUAAUACGGGGGGUGCAAGCAUUAAUCGGAACUAUUGGGCGUAUAGGGAGCGCAGGCUGUAUUGCAGGUCAGAUGUGAAAGCCCUGGGCUCAACCUGGGAAUCACAUUCGAUACUGCAGAACUAGAGUAUGGUAGAGGGAAGUGGAAUUUCCGGUGUAGCGGUGAAAUGCGUAGAUAUCGGAAGGAACACCAGUGGCGAAGGCGACUUCCUGGGCCAAUACUGACGCUGAGGUGCGAAAGCGUGGGGAGCAAACAGGAUUAGAGACCCUGGUAGUCCACGCCGUAAACGAUGAGAACUAGAUGUUGGGGGAAUUUGUCCUUCGGUGUCGCAGCUAACGCGUUAAGUUCUCCGCCUGGGGAGUACGCCGGCAAAGGUAAAACUCAAAGGAAUUGACGGGGACCCGCACAAGCGUUGGAGCAUGUGGUUUAAUUCGAUGCAACGCGAAGAACCUUACCUGGGCUUGACAUCCUGAGAGUUUCUACGAAAGUAGAGAGUGCCCUUCUGGGAAUUCAGUGACAGGUGCUGCAUGGCUGUCGUCAGCUCGUGUCGUGAGAUGUUGGGUUAAGUACCGCAACGAGCGCAACCCCUAUCUUUAGUUACCAUCAUUCAGUUGGGGACUCUAGAGAUACUGCCCCGGUUAACGGGGAGGAAGGUGGGGAUGACGUCAAGUCCUCAUGGCCCUUAUGCCCAGGGCUACACACGUGCUACAAUGGUAUGUACAAAGAGUUGCGAACUCGCGAGGGUAAGCUAAUCUCAUAAAACACAUCUCAGUUCGGAUAGGAGUCUGCAACUCGACUCCUUGAAGUUGGAAUCGCUAGUAAUCGCAGAUCAGCAUGCAGCGGUGAAUACGUUCCCGGGCCUUGUACACACCGCCCGUCACACCAUGAGAGUUGAUUGUACCGGAAGUUGUUAGGCUAACCCUUCGGGGAGGCAGGCACCCAUGGUAUGGUUGAUAAUUGGGGUGAAGUCGUAACAAGUAACC